ensembl:lncRNA
CUUGGCUCCCUCCCAAAAAGUGUAGAGAUGGGAAAAGUGGGUCCCUAGGCAUUUGCACCGCAGGCAGCAAGCCUGCGUUUGGCUGCUUGGCUGGCCAAGCCUGCUGGAGCAAAAUCUCUAAGACCUUAAGAUGUAUGAAUAACAUUUGGCUUGAGUCCAUUUCCUCAGUGCCGGACAGCUUGCUGCUGAAUGAAGUUUUUUUUACUCAGGUCCUCAGAGUCAGACCCUUGCCCAGAUCCAGCUGUCCCUGGUAAUUAAAUUUUAAUGCCUCAAGCUGGGAGUUUGCAUUGGUUUUUAAAAGAGGCUGCAAGCGGUCUGCUGUGGUCACCUGCAAGCUUUGAAGCUCUCAUCUGCUGAUAAGGGGGAGGUCCUAACUGCUGAGGUCCUGGCUGAGCUGGUGUGACAGUUCUCCAGCCCCAGAAGGAGAACUAAGGGGAUUCCUCUUGUGCAGCAUUAAGCACAGCAACAAAUCAGAGCAGAUGUGGCUCAAUGAAACCAUCGUGCAGCUCAGGAUGAGUGAGGUGGCUACAGACAGCUUUGAAUAUGUGUGUGCUUGUGUGUCUGUGUACAAUAUAGCCGAAGAAGCCUCCACUGCUGUUUGUGCUGCAGAACAGAUGACUUGGAAAAGGCUCUCGAAGUUCUGGGACUUCACCCUGACAUGUCCUGGAUUUGAACAUCCCCAGGUCUGGAGGCUGCCUGCUGGCUGGUGUGGGCUUAUCUCUGCAGGAGGCAAGCUGAAGCGCUCCGUGCCAUUGCCAUGCUUUUUAAAUGAGGAGGAGAAGAGGAAAGCUGAAGCCUUUACUCUGCCUGUUGGAUGAAAAUUAUUUGUGGCUGAUGAACGGCUGAGUAGCAAUAUGCAAAUUCCCCUGGAUGUACAUAGAAUGGUCGUCUGUGGCACAGCAGCAUUAGUCUGGCUGUAGGAUGAUUCACAUGCCUGAAGAAUAAAAGGUGCUUCACCUCAAAUAAUACCGUUUUUGUGCUUAUUGUUAUCGCUGUGAUUAAACCUCUGCCACUGUCUGAUUUUGGAGACUGGUGAACAUCAGCCGUUCUUAGAGACAGCAGAGCCAGAAUUACCUAUGGCUGCGGAGGGGAUCUGGGACAGUGCGGCUAAGGAGAGCACAGUGUGUUUCUAAGUGGGCUACAGAACAUCAUUAUCAUAUUUCUUCUGGAACCUGCUUUCUGGGCUGAAACACAGAAUGGCUUCCACUGAAGGUGUGUAUAGAAUCAGAGGGCUAUUCCACACCUGUAAACUGGACAACCAUCAUGGUGCCUAUGGGAUCUGUUCAGGCCACAUCUAUUAGGAACCUGGCCUGUGCAGCCCAGAAGACAGCUAGAGAUGGAUGGUGCUGGCGUGCGGCCACUUCGGAAGACAGAGCUGGAUCAGCCUGCCGGGGACAGAGGCAGACAAAUGGAACCUGCAGGACAAGCAUGCCAUUACCUUGUUUGCCAAACUCAUUACAGAGAAGUUGCAAAGUUCCAGUAUGCUGCCCCUGGCCUCCGAGACAAAGCUGUCAGCUGGUUCGUGAAUAAUUCCAGGCCACAUUCAGGCAGCCCGUUGUCGCUUGGCGCCCAGCAUGCUGCAGGUGAAGAUGGAAGCUCCAGCCCCAAGGAGGAAUAAUGCUGACCCCCAUCAGCACCAGCUCCUCACACUCAGCAGAGAUCAGGUGCUCUGGGGCAGAAAGCCCUGACUCAUGGCAAUCCAAGCUUCAGACAAAGUUGGUUGGAGCACCAUGAUCAUAAACUCCAUCAUAGAUUGGCUAUCAGCAGGAUGGAGGUGGCUGCAUGCUUCGCAGAUGAAUCGAUAUGGAGGAAGAAAGCCCUAAUUUGCUGCAUCCUUUGACUUUUCAAGUCAUGACCAAUGGAGACGUUUCAAAAUCAUGGCUCAGAGGUACCUGGCAAAGCUCCCGUGGUGCUGCACCUUGCUGUCUCCUGCACUGAUGGACUAGGAGUGGCCAUCUACGUUUUUUAUUUGCAAAAACAGAAUCCCUUUCAGCACAGCCAAACUCUUCUCUUUGAGAUUCAACAUAGCCAAACUCUUCUUUUUUAAUCUCUCCAUCUGCAAAGCUUCCCAAAUACUUCUGAUCCAGAAGCCAGGAUCGUACGGUGCCUGUGAGUGGGGCUGCUGCUGCGCUGCGAAGGCCUGUCUGAAAGGCUCUGACAGGAAGAAAAUAUGUUUUCUGCAGCCCCUGGCUUCCUGCCAGCUGCACGAUAGCUGCUGCGGAGACAGACUAGCCCAGACGGUCCUAAUACAUCAUAAUAUUAAUACUGCUAUUUUUGUCUGUACAGCUUUUGAGAUAGCAUCAUCAAAACUGGACACGGUGCUCAGUUGGGCACUUCCAGCACUGCAGGGUAUCAGAGAACACCUACGAGAAACCAGAAUGUGAGCUGGGCAGUAGGAGCCCUGAGGCCCAUCUCCUGCACACUGUGGCAGUGAAGGGAAUUACCACAAAGUCAGCGUUGGAAGUGUCUGGCCUUCCAAGGUUGGUUGAGUUUGAUGCUUAGGAUGUAGUGACAGAGCACCUGGGUUUUCCCAUGAUGUCACCAGAUGGAUUAACUUCAAAAGGAUCAGCCAUCCUGAUCCUCCUACCCUGACCUCACCAGCCAUGUACAGACACCUGGCUUCCACAGCAGCACAAAGAAACCAGCUCUUAUCCUCAGAUGCUUAAACUGAUUGCAUCCCUGAUCCGUUUGGUCAGCCUCUGAAUGGCACUUCCCCUUGCUUGAGUCAUUUAAUCACCGCUGCCAAUCAGCACUAUUGAGCAGAGCAACAAUACGUCUCAAAGCUCAAUCACCUUCACAAUCCUCUCACUGUCAGCCCAUGUGUCUCCCUGCAGGGCAGAAUUACUGUAGAUGAGAUGCAGGGUGGUUUUGUAAUUGAAAUGUUCGCUCAUAUGUGCGUGUGUCUCAUGAGGACGCGUGACUAUGUGUAUAUACAUGGGUAUGUGUGCCGUGCUUUGAAAUGCAGACUAAGUGUUGGGGGGCAGCGUGCAUUCAGAAAGGAAAUUAUGCAUUGAAACUGCAUUUGCAUCUUCUUAACUAUUCAGUCAGCUGAGAAAUACACUGAGAAGCAGCAGCAGUGCGCAAGGCUUGCUGUGACACUGAGCUGCACUCGUGUGCUCAGCUGAGUGGGCUCACAUGGGCAUGAGAGACAAUCACAGAAUCAUUGAUGUUGGAAAAGAUCACUAAGAUCAUCUGGAGACCCUGUGCAGGGACGUCUUUUGGUGCUAGAUCUCCUCAUCAUCAUCACAUGGCACAAGCCACUCACAUUCCACUUCUGAAAUUCAGCAACUUGCGCUGGAAAUUGGCUUGUGAGGAGAGGGGCCUUGGGGAACCGGCUCAGCUUGGUGAGACGGGCGGUCCCAGCUCAGUGCUGGCCGCCCAUGGCCCAGGGAGGUGGGGAAGUGUUCCUGCCUGCCUUCCCAUCUCUUGCCCUUUCCUUCCCAGAAAAAUCUCUGAAGUUUUCAUUUCCACCUUCAAUCCAAAUCAAAUUUCAGACUUCAAAUUUCAAAUUUCGGCUCAAGAAAUGGUGAUUUUCCAUUCCCAUUCCUCAUUCCUUUUCAGCUUUGUCCCCUGCUUUCUCUCUGCUUCACCCCUCCUGAUAUUCAGCAGCCGGAGACAAACCUUUGUGUGCUCUGUGCUCUGGAGCAGCCUUCAUAAACACUGCCUUUGCUUUCUGGGAAAGUCCAGCAGCAGGGACACGUGUUAGCUCUGGGUCAUUCCAAGGGGUACCAAGUCCUGCAACCCUUAAGCUCAAUGGCGUUGCUGGGAUCAUUGGUGUUUGACCCUGUAUGUAGUGUAAGGCUAAUGGUAUGUAAUGCUCUGUUGUGAUUCAUCAAUCAUGCAUCUAGAUACUAAUUAUAAUCCGCCUCUUAUGUAUGCCACUAGCCUAUAAUUUUAAUCCCAAACAUUUGUGUGUGUAAUGAGGCAGUGCUUUUGUGCCUUACAUCCUGGUGUAAGCCUGUGAUUUGCGCCAUGCUGGAAAUACAAAAUCAAAUAAGAGGGAAUAAAAAUAAAACAGCGGAAAACUUUUGCCCUUUGAAUUUGACAUAUAAAAAGUGUUGCGAUGACUUCAAAAUUUGCAAAGCAAACAACUGAAUGUGCAUGUGUCUGCAGCCAUGUAUAUCAAGGUAACUUUCAAAGCCC